rnacentral:antisense_RNA from 1 species
CACGCACCGUUAUGGGCUGCUGUAAGAAGAAAGACAGGGAGGUUCAGGGUGAAGCUAAUGAAUUAUACAUGGCAAUGUAUUAAGCAGAAGAAAAUAGCUGAUGCAAAUACAGAAAAAGAAGAGGACUAAAGAGUACCACUUCUUUCCGAAGAGAGUGGUUCUUUACCUCAGGGUCACGGUCCUUCUCCCUACAGGCUCGGACCUCAUUGUACAGCUUGGAGGAAGAGAUGGGAGCCAGAAAGGAAGUGUACUCCCCAGGGAUGCUCACACCGUCAUCUGCACAGCAGGAUGGUCAAAUUAGUUCCAGAGGGAGGGAAAUGCAUACAGCUUUAUCCGCCGGUCAGCCUGCUUGGCUGCCCGCAGGGAAGCGUUCACCAGGGGUCCCCGUCCUGCUCCCAGCACCAUCAGUACCCUAAGAAAGAAAGGGAAGAGUCAAGCAGACUUGGCAUAUACAGAUGUAGGAGGUAAGAGAAGCAACACCCAUCCCAGGAUUCUCAUGGACUCACCCACUGCAAUCCUCUUACUAUAGUCACACAAAGUCCGGAAGUUGUGCCACCUGUUCAGUCAAAUACAGAAAAGUACAGUCAACUAGAUAUGGCCGACCAAUCACCACAGCUCAA